rnacentral:lncRNA from 1 species
CAUUUCGAGUGCAACGGUAGCCAUAUAAAUAAUGAAAACCAGAGUUGAGAGUGUCUCUCCUAUCUUUACAAGAACAAUGACAUUUUUGUGCAAUUGUUGCAAUUUUCAAGCUUGGAAUUCUUUUCUUCUUUGCUUUGACUGGAAUUGAAAAUGCCCACCAAAUGGCUGCCAAGAAAUCUUUUUCCUAUAACUAUCUUCUCUAUCUCACUAUCAAACUAAUGCCUGCAUUGUAUUUCAUUUGGUGUUGGAUUUUUUCGAAAAAUGGGUGAAUAUUGCUGAAGGGAGCAAACAUAUUCAUUGUACAGAAACCCAUCGGGGCAACAUUUGUGAAUAAAUUCCCAUUUUCCUGACUUUAGUGUUCUGUCUUUAUCCAAGAUCAAAGAGGGGCAGUCUUUCUUUUUCAGAUUUGCUUGUGUAAUCAUUUUCAUGACAGAUCCUUGCUGGAAAAUUUCAUUGACUCUGGAAAUUUUCAAAUUCAUACCAUAGCCUUCUUCAUUUUUUGGAGGUUGAUCUCUGUGAUAUUUUUGGGUAUAGCAAACUGUCCAGAAAAAUUAAUGUUUUUUCGGUGGCUUUUUG